CAAAGAACUUUGAAGAGAGAGUUCAAGAGUACGUGAAACCGCUCGGAGGCAAACGGGUGGGCCCUCGAAGGUCGAACGGGGGGAUUCAACCCGUCCGCAGUCACGGUCGCGCGUCACGGAUGGCGGGGCGUUGGGCGGAUCCGGCAAUCGGACCGGUCCGUGGCGUAAAGCAUAUCUUUGCAGCGACCGCGGGCGGGCGCACUUCCCCCUCAGUAGGACGCCGCGACCGGUCGGGUCCGCGGCUUUGCGGCGAGACGACGGCAGGUAUCCGUCGCCGGUCUCUUUCUCUCGUUCCGCUCGUGGGGGAAAAGCCGGUCGGAAUUACAGCCCGUCUCCGCUUCGGCUGCUGCCCGACCGAGGAACUGCGUGCCCGCGCCUUCGGCCGUGAGACGCGCGGAACGUCCUGGCAGGCUUCGCCGUCGGGAUCCGAACGCCCCUGGUGGCGGUCGGUAUUCCCGCAUCGGCGUGCUGUUGGCUGGGCGUUGCUGCUCUCGUGGUGGCGCUCGUGGUCGGCGGCGAGUAGGUCGGUCACCCACCCGACCCGUCUUGAAACACGGACCAAGGAGUCUAACAUGUGCGCGAGUCGCAGGGAGCUCGCAAAAAACCUGAAGGCGCAAUGAAAGUGAAAGUCGGUAAGC
rnacentral:rRNA from 1 species